rnacentral:tmRNA from 1 species
ACUCUCUAUCAUAUCGUUGGGAAGAACAUCGCCCACCAGCAGAAAGCUAUUUAUUGGUGUCUCCACCAAUUUAAAUUGGCCUGGCACGCUCCAGCUCAUAUUAAUUGCCAAAUCCACACACCUUCUGUAAUUUUUCUCAAGCACAGGAUCUGCUUCGGGGAAAAAAUCACUUAAUGUGGCCAUGUUUAUAGCUUCAAAAAAAUCUUACUUUGAAGCUGUAUACCGCAGCACAGUUUCCAGUCACAGUGAAGAAUUUUGGAAGUCUGAUGAUCCAGUUUACUUUACCCAAUACAAGAAACAGUGCAACAGGCUACCGAAUGCCUACUUGGGCACACUACACUCUGCCACCUUUUUGAUUCCCCGGCGCCAUGGCAAAACCUGGAUUGUGACAGCAAUCAUAAGCAUGCUUCUGACAUCAGUGGAUGAUUUACAUAUUGGCUACGUAGCCCACCAAAAACAUGUGUCCUUGGCAGUUUUCCUGGAAAUCUCAAACAUUCUGCUGGCCUGGUUCCCAAGAAAGAAUAUUGACAUUAAAAAGGAAAAUGGGGUGAUCCUGUACUCACAUCCUGGGAAAAAAUCCAGCACCUUGAUGUGUGCCACAUGCUUCAACAAGAAUAGCAUCCGGGGGCAGACAUUUAAUCUACUGUUUGUUGAUGAAGCAAAUUUCAUAAAGAAGGAAGCACUUCCAGCAAUCUUGGGGUUUAUGUUACAGAAGGAUGCCAAGAUCUUUUUUAUCUCCUCUGUAAAUUCAGGAGAGAAGACAACAAGUUUUUUGUAUAACCUCAAAGAUGCCAAUGAGAAGAUGGUGAACGUUGUCAGCUAUGUCUGUAGCGAACAUAUGGAAGACUUCAACAAACAGAGCGCAAUCACUGCCUGCCCUUGCUAUCGCCUGUAUGUUCCAGAAUUUAUCACCAUCAAUGAUAAUAUAAAGUGUACCACCAAUUUACUGCUAGAGGGAUCAUUUGCCACAGAAUUAAUGGGCAAUAUGCAAUCACACACGGAAGUCUCUGGGAACAGUAUGAUACACGAGUCCAGUCUGACCCGGCUAGACUUUUAUAGGUGUGACACUGCGGGCCAGGGGGCCCCAACUACAGAAAAUACACUUUUUGUGUAUAUUGACCCCGCCUAUGGAAACAACGUCCACGCCUCUGGAACUGGUAUAGUUGCCAUGAGUCACUGUAAACACACUAAAAAGUGUAUUAUCUUAGGGUUGGAACAUUUCUUCCUGAACAACCUCACUGGAACUGCUGCUCACAACAUAGCCUCAUGUGCCACUGCUCUGUUGGAGGGAAUAUUGUUUCAACACCCCUGGAUUCAAGAAAUCAGGUGUAUAAUAGAGGGAAAUAGCAAUCAAGACUCAGCUGUAGCCAUAGCAACUUUUAUUUCCCACAACAUUAAACUACCAACCCUGUUUGCCUCCUACAGAGACAAGACUGGAAUGCAAUGGCCUAUUUAUAUGUUGAGUGGAGACAAGACACUGGCCUUCCAAAACUUUAUCUCUUCAUUGAACCAGGGAUUGCUCUGUGCCAGCCAAACCGUGGUAUCUAACACUGUCCUGCUGUCUAGUGACCCAAUCUCCUAUCUGAUUGAACAGAUAAAAAAUACCAAAUGUAUAUACCACAAGAACAAAACCAUAACCUUCCAAUCCAAAACACAUACAAUGUCUGAUGAUGUUCUAAUUGCGUGUGUUAUGACCUGUUACGUGAUGACAACAAACAAGAUAUCAUACAUCUCUUUUUCAAUAAAAUAAUCUUUAUUUAG